AAUGUGGAAGACACCUAGGAGGAUCCUGAGUACGGCGGAACACGAGAAAUUCCGUCGGAAUCCGGGAGGACCAUCUCCCAAGGCUAAAUACUCCCUAGUGACCGAUAGUGAACCAGUACCGUGAGGGAAAGGUGAAAAGCACCCCGGAAGGGGAGUGAAAUAGAACCUGAAACCGUGUGCCUACAACAAGUCAAAGCCCGUUAAUGGGUGAUGGCGUGCCUUUUGUAGAAUGAACCGGCGAGUUACGAUUGCAUGCGAGGUUAAGUUGAAGAGACGGAGCCGCAGCGAAAGCGAGUCUGAAUAGGGCGUUUGAGUAUGUAGUCGUAGACCCGAAACCAUGUGAUCUACCCAUGUCCAGGUUGAAGGUGCGGUAAAACGCACUGGAGGACCGAACCCACGUACGUUGAAAAGUGCGGGGAUGAGGUGUGGGUAGCGGAGAAAUUCCAAACGAACUUGGAGAUAGCUGGUUCUCUCCGAAAUAGCUUUAGGGCUAGCCUCGGAAUUGAGAAUGAUGGAGGUAGAGCACUGUUUGGACUAGGGGCCCAUCUCGGGUUACCGAAUUCAGAUAAACUCCGAAUGCCAUUCAUUCAUAUCCGGGAGUCAGACUGUGAGUGAUAAGAUCCAUAGUCGAAAGGGAAACAGCCCAGACCACCAGCUAAGGUCCCAAAAUAUAUGUUAAGUGGAAAAGGAUGUGGGGUUGCACAGACAACUAGGAUGUUGGCUUAGAAGCAGCCACCAUUUAAAGAGUGCGUAAUAGCUCACUAGUCGAGUGACCCUGCGCCGAAAAUGUACCGGGGCUAAACAUAUUACCGAAG
rnacentral:rRNA from 1 species